GCCCACGUGGCUCAGGGGUAGAGCACUUCCUUGGUAAGGAAGGGGUCACCGGUUCAAAUCCGGUCGUGGGCUCCA
rnacentral:tRNA from 6 species